rnacentral:rRNA from 1 species
UACGGGGGGGGCAAGCGUUGUUCGGAAUUACUGGGCGUAAAGGGUUCGUAGGUGGCCUACUAAGUCAGACGUGAAAUCCCUCAUCUUAACUGGGGAACUGCGUCUGAUACUGGGGGGCUUGAGUGCAGGAGAGGAACGCGGAAUUCCAGGUGUAGCGGUGAAAUGCGUAGAUAUCUGGAGGAACACCGGUGGCGAAGGCGGCGUUCUGGACUGCAACUGACACUGAUGAACGAAAGCCAGGGGAGCAAACGGG